rnacentral:rRNA from 1 species
UGGGGAAUAUUGCGCAAUGGGGGAAACCCUGACGCAGCAACGCCGCGUGAAGGAUGAAGGUCUUCGGAUUGUAAACUUUUGUCUACAGGGAAGAAAAUGACGGUACCUGUGGAGGAAGCCACGGCUAACUACGUGCCAGCAGCCGCGGUAAUACGUAGGUGGCAAGCGUUGUCCGGAUUUACUGGGUGUAAAGGGUGCGUAGGCGGGACAAAAAGUCAGAUGUGAAAUACCGGGGCUCAACCCCGGGGCUGCAUUUGAAACUUUUGUUCUUGAGUGCAGGAGAGGUAAGUGGAAUUCCUAGUGUAGCGGUGAAAUGCGUAGAUAUUAGGAGGAACACCAGUGGCGAAGGCGACUUACUGGACUGUAACUGACGCUGAGGCACGAAAGCGUGGGGAGCGAACA